rnacentral:lncRNA from 1 species
GUUGAUGUUUUAGGGUUUAGAUUUGAAGGUUUAGGGUUUAGGGUUUUGAGAUGAUGUUUUAGGGUUUAGGGUUUAGAGUUGAUGUUUCAUGGUUUAGGAUUUAGACUUGAUGAUUUAGGGUUUAAAGUUGAUGUUUUAAGUUUAGAUUUAGGGUUUAGGGUUUACGUUUAGAGUUGAUGUUUUAGGGUUUAGAUUUGAAGGUUUAGGGUUUAGGGUUUAGAGUUGAUGUUUCGGAGUUUAGGGUUUAGAGUUGAUGUUUCAUGGUUUAGAGUUUAAAGUUGAUGAUUUAAUGUUUAGAGUUGAUGUUUUAAGUUUAGAUUAGUUAACGUUUUUUUUGUGAAAGUUAAUCAAAAGAUUAU